GGAGGGUGCCAGCACUUCCAAUGAAUACCGGCUCUUUAAUCACAGCAAGGAAAUGAGACAUACUGAGUAUGCCUGUCUGAUGCGGUGCUGACUCCUGCCUCGACUCUAAGAGAAAAAAAAAAGAGAGAACAACAGGUAAUACCUGAUAUCCCUGAAUGAUCCCAUUGUGAGCGUCAUGAGGCGGAGGAUCCCAGCUGAGGUGCACUGUGUCAUUACGGUCAGUGGGCAUUGUUAUGGACACAUCCUGAGGUGGUGCGCUGGGAACUGAGAACAGGGCAUGUGGUUACAUUUGGCACAAGGUCCUGCUCCAAUCCAGUGGAAUGCAGAGUAAACGGGCCUGCUGAGGAAUCUGUUUGGGCUACAAACACAGCAUGCUGUCACAGCUCAAUUAGUGCUCUGUUUGUUUCGGGCAGGAAAGCAAACUUUGACAUCUGAUCUCCAGUAAUCUCAUGGACCAUCUUAAUAAGCUUCCUCACUCUCUUGUUCCUUCAGAGCAUUUAAGUAGGUCUUGAUGGGUCAUUCAUUGUUAUUGGGGUCAAACAAGUGAAUUUAUGUGGGAACUGACCAUUUGAGAUAGUUUUUUUGGACCCCAUUGACUUAUUCAGUGUUGGAGAAUGUUACUUUUAAAAGUAAUGCAUUACAAUAUUGUGAUACUCCCUAAAAAGUAACUAAUUGCAUUACUUAGUUGCUUUUUAUGAAAA